GCUAAUACAACAUUGUAAAUCAACUAUAUCCCAAUAAAAAAUUUAAAAACCAUGGUAUAUAUAGGAUUCAGUCCUAACCACAGUUUCAGGCAUCCACUGAGGGUCUUGGAAUGUAGUCCCCAUGGAUAAAUGCGGACUUCUGUACACUGCAACAUGCUAUGUAUGAGGAGGAGAGUUCCUAAGUAUUCAUGUGUAUUCUGACUUUGAAAAGUUCUAAUAGGAAGCAAAUCAGGGGGUUGCUUAGGCCAGAGGAGACCACUUGUUUUAGGUAACCUUGUACGCAGAGCUGGGGAAUUGGCUUUUUAAGUCUCCUUUUAGGGUUUUUGCUGAAGAGUGGAUGCAAAUCUAAGCUGGUUGGGCCAUAAUUAAUGCAGAUUCCUCAGUCAGCCAAUACCGUAUCUACCUACUUAUUCUCCUAAACACACUUCACUAACAAUAGGAAUUCUGGGCAGAUUAUGAAAUCUGAGGGUCUCUUUAAAUUGCUCCCAAUUUAAUGUGCUUCAAAUGAUCCUGAUUUUCUAAACAGCAUAUCAUGGAAUAUUGUCUGAUGGUUCCUUGCAAAAGUCACACAAGUCAUGUUAUGGAAGCAGAGGGCUUUUGUCUUUUCGUAAUUAAGUAUAAAGAACUUGAGUCCUAGCAGUUCUCUAUUUCACUAGAGAUUCCUUUAAAUGUUGUCAGAUCUGCUACUGAGAUGAAUGUACUGAUAGCUUGGAGACCUACUAUAAUUCCUUAUUUCAGAGGCGAAUAUAAAUGAUGUAUAGUGGUGCCUGAGAUUGUGUGUCCUUUUAGGAACCCUGGCAUAAAAGUGUAGACACAAGCUGUCUAUUCUGUUUACAGUUGGUCAGGAAUAUGACAAAUCAGAAACUCUGAGGACCAAACUUGAGGGUGAAAGUUCUUUCUGGCCAGGAUCACCCCCUUUUGACAUGCAAGAAGCCAGAUCUUUAAAUCUGGAAAGUUAAUGAAGUGUUGGUUCUGAUAGCCACCUCAUUUGAUUAGCCACAAGAUGUAACUGGCUAAUAGACCUCCUAAGGUCUCCUCCUCUCAUUAGACCUCCUAAGCGCUAAUAAUCUGCAGAUUCAGAAAAUUUCACUAGCCUUUUCAAACACAACCAAACUGACCUGAAGUUACUCACAUUUUGCUAUCAGUUUCAAUUACUGGAUUUCUCAUCUUUUUUUUUUAAGGUUUAACUUGUUUGAUAACAAAUCAAACCAAGGAGUAGACGGAGAAUGAGAUGAGUACUCCAAACAGAAUUGGGUCGAGAGCUACCAUCUUCAGGUAAUGAUGGCUACUAGGACCAUCUUCAGGUAAUUGAUGUGCUUACUCUAGUGUGAUGCUUUACUUUAGCGGAGGUGGGGCACCAACAUCUGGCCACUUAUUUUUGCAGAACCUACUGCUGCCCAUGCAGAAGAAGGCCCUGGGGAGCUGCUGGAGGAAAUCAGAUUCAGGUUACUUGCUCCUGGAAAGCCAUUGGCCAUGUCAAAAGGAAAUUUUAUUGGGAGACACCUGGUGGGGAACUCUCAUCAAAAGCAUGUGACUGAGCCAUCUUGGAAGAAGAUCUCCCAACCUCAAUCAAGCCUUCAUGUACUAUACAUUGACUGAAAUCAUGAUAUACUCUGAUUCAGUCCAGCCAGCUAAUGCUCUUUCAAAUUACUGACAGAAAAUAUGAGAUAAUAAAUAUUUGAUUUUAA